rnacentral:rRNA from 1 species
UACGAAGGGGGCUAGCGUUGCUCGGAAUCACUGGGCGUAAAGCGCACGUAGGCGGCUUUUUAAGUCAGGGGUGAAAUCCUGGAGCUCAACUCCAGAACUGCCUUUGAAACUGUUAGACUUGAGUACGAGAGAGGUGAGUGGAAUUCCCAGUGUAGAGGUGAAAUUCGUAGAUAUUGGGAAGAACACCAGUGGCGAAGGCGGCUCACUGGCUCGUAACUGACGCUCAGGCGCGACAGCGUGGGGAUCAAACAGG